AAAGAAGACCUUAACAAAACAAUAGAAAUGCUAUCCUCAGCAAAGGAUAGUGUUAAUAUAUAGAAGGAUAAGUCCAUCAUCCAUGUUAUCAUUCUUUCCAGGGGGCUAAUCCGAAGUGUGGACUACAAAAUCCUUGACUACAAGAUGAUAAAUAUGGACAGACAUUUGUGCGGUGAUGCUUUUGUUGAAUU